GAGCAGUCUGGUAGCUCGUCGGGCUCAUAACCCGAAGGUCGUUGGUUCAAAUCCAGCCCCCGCAACCA
rnacentral:tRNA from 1 species